AAGGGGCUUUUGUCAGGUAAAUUAUGUACAGAACCUCCCCACCCCCAGCCUGCGUCCUGAGUGGCCCUGUCGGUAAUUAACCUUGGACUUAAUCGGCUCUUUUAAGCUCGGCCAUUGUGCAGAGGGAGGGGUUGCUGGCCCCAGUCCCACCUGCCUGGAGUCUGCUGCUGGAGGUGGGGAGGGAGGAGUCUCUCAUAACUGCUGCAACAGCAUAUGUGAUCCUAGUUUCCCGACCAGGGAUUGAACCCUCACCCCCUACAUUGGCAGUGUGAAGUCUUAACCACUAGACUGCUAGGGGACAUGCCACACUAGAGAGUCCAUGCGACACAGCGAAAGAUCCCGAACAACACAGUGAAGACCCGGAAUGCCGCAACCAAGACCCCAUGCAGCCAAAUAAAUAUUUUAUAAAAAAGAAAAAGGAAAAUUCUUUG